rnacentral:rRNA from 1 species
GACGAACGCUGGCGGCGUGCCUAAUACAUGCAAGUCGAACGAGAGCGCCCGGUGCUUGCCCUGGUCAAUCUAGUGGCGAACGGGUGAGUAACACGUGGGUAACCUGCCCAUCAGAGGGGGAUAACAUCCGGAAACGGAUGCUAAAACCGCAUAGGUCUUCGAACCGCAUGGUUUGAAGAGGAAAAGAGGCGCAAGCUUCUGCUGAUGGAUGGACCCGCGGUGCAUUAGCUAGUUGGUGAGGUAACGGCUCACCAAGGCCGUGAUGCAUAGCCGACCUGAGAGGGUGAUCGGCCACAUUGGGACUGAGACACGGCCCAAACUCCUACGGGAGGCAGCAGUAGGGAAUCUUCCUCAAUGGACGCAAGUCUGACGGAGCAACGCCGCGUGAGUGAAGAAGGUUUUCGGAUCGUAAAACUCUGUUGUUAGAGAAGAACAAGUGCUAGAGUAACUGUUAGCGCCUUGACGGUAUCUAACCAGAAAGCCACGGCUAACUACGUG